UUUGCUUUUCUUAUCAACAAUCAAUAUAUAUAUUUAGUUUUCUAAGUGUUACAUUAAAUUAUUUUAAAUCUUUUGUUUUUUACAGAAAUAUCGUCAUCUUCUUCUCGAAAGGAAGAAGAUCACAUGGAAUGAUAACAAGACUCAUACAUUCCUUUAGAUUUUUGUAUCCGAGCAAGAAGAAGAGAACUGGAAAGAGGCUGUCCUUCCAAAAGAAGGAAAAGAUCGAUUAAUAGAUAAAUUUGUGCAAGCAACAAGAUAUAAACCGGUAUGAAAACUUUAAGAAUCAUUAUGAUAGUCUGAAAACAUGGUACACUACAUACAAAAGGUUAAGAAAAAAAACUGGAGUACAUGUUAAUCAGACUACCAAUGAAAUCGAGAUGGAUUUGGACUGGUGGGACGAUCGGUGCAAUUUAUAGGAAAUUCCCGGGGCUAGUCAUAUAAGAAACAAGCCACUUCAAGAUCUAGAUUUGCUGGAAAAAUAUUUUCAGAUACGUACAUUGGAACUGAAGAUGGAUGGGCAGUUGGAAAUGGUCCUGAUGGAUAUGUGCAAGCAGAAGAUCAUGUGAAUGAUACCCAAACUGAAAGAGAUGACCAAGAAUCAUUUUUUUCUGAAACUCAAAACACCGGGUAUAACACCCCCACAAACAAAAUACCACCAAGACGAAAACGCGAAAAGUCGGAAACUUCAAUGGCAUAUGGUAGACGAUCCUAAACUAUUAGAGUUGCAGGAGAAGCCAUGGGUUCAGAUAGAGAAA